rnacentral:lncRNA from 1 species
UAAUUUUAUUGGUAGUAUUGAUGUGUGCAUGAAAUGUAGUAUCCAUAGUAACAUCACACUAGACACUAACUUUAUAUUAGACCCUAGUAGCUUUAUUUGUGCUUGUGGUUGUAAAUGUAAAUGCAUGGAUUUCUGCUACACUGUAGAAUACAUCACAAGGAAGCUUUGCUUUGCUCUACAUGGACUACGAUCCCGUAUUAUUAAAAACCUUCCGCCAAGCAAGCGUAAGGGUCUUUGACAGUAACCAACACUCAUCU